UACUGCCUACGGGAGGCAGCAGUCGGGAAUAUUGCGCAAUGGAGGAAACUCUGAUGCAGUGACACCGCGUAUAGGAAGAAGGCUUUCGGAUUGUAAACUAUUUCAGACAGGGAAGAAAAAAGACAGUACCUGUAGAAUAAGCUCCGGCUAACUACGUGCCAGCAGCCGCGGUAAUACGUAGGGAGCAAGCGUUAUCCGGAAUUAUUGGGUGUAAGGGUGCGUAGACGGGACAGCAAGUUAGUUGUGAAAGCCCUCGGCUUAACUGAGGAACUGCAACUAAAACUAUUGUUCUUGAGUGCAG
rnacentral:rRNA from 1 species